CUGGUCAGGACUCAGUCCCAGUCAGCACACAGCAUGGACAUGCGGUUCCCCGCUCAGCUCCUGGGGCUCCUGCUGCUCUGGCUGCCAGAUACCAGAUGUGACAUCCAGAUGACCCAGUCACCAACUUCCCUCUCUGUAUCUCCUGGAGAGAGAGUCACCAUCACUUGCAGAGCCAGUGAAGACAUUUACACUGGUUUAAAUUGGUAUCAGCAGAAACCAGGGAAAGCUCCUAAACUCCUGAUCUAUGUUGCAAGCAAUUUGGUACCCGGGGUCCCAUCCAGGUUCAGUGGCAGUGGAUCUGGGACAGUUUACAGUCUCACAAUCAGUUCUGUGGAAGCUGAAGAUAUUGCAACUUAUUACUGUCAGCAGCUUAAAGAUUCCCCUCCCACAGUGAUACAAGCCAUGACAAAAACCACCCAGAAGCAGAAGUGUGAGGCUGUGCUGUCCCAGCUGCUCCUCAUGGUGCCCUCUCUUCCAGAAACUAUUUCUCAGAUGUAA